rnacentral:snRNA from 1 species
GUGCUCGCUUUGGCAGCACAUACACUAAAAUUGGAACAAUACAGAGAAGAUUAGCAUGGCCCUGUACAGGGUGACAUGCAAAUUUGUGAAGCAUUCCAUGUAAAG